UCACCAGGAGAUUAAUAUGCUU
rnacentral:miRNA from 1 species